GGAGGGAGAAAGCCAGGUACUGCGCGCAGCCGCAGUACAAGCUGUACUCGCCUGGCGCGUGGGCGUGGCUGCGGUACCGCGCGCGUACUACCCGCCACCCAUCUCUCUACUUGGCACAGCCGCACAGCGCGCCCAUCCCAUCCCAUCCCAUCAGAUCCGCCCGCCCUUCGCCAACAGGAUGGGAGUAGAUACGAUACGAUACGAGCUCAUUUGUCGCUGCUUCCUUCAUUUCAUCUCUUCUUCUCCGCUGCUAGGCUCGUCCUGGCCCUGUCCUAGCCGGCUAGCCCAUGCCUGGAAGAUGAUCGGCGACGGCAACAAGCGCGAUGCAAGGCAGUUCCGGCGGGGGCGAACUGAGAACACAUGAGAAUAAUGAGAUGAGAUUGCUCGCCUCGCGGUCGCCCCCGCAGGGCCUUCCUUGCUGCUGUUCCGCAGGGUGGCGGUCUGGGUGGCCGCCCGUCGUCCAGGGGAGUAUCGAGACACGUACGCACGAAUUCACCACCACGCGAUCCAGCAUGUUUUGCUGCUGCAGUGCUCUUCGUCACGGUUAUAUAUAUAUAUAUAUGUGAUCGAACUGCCAUGCAUGGUAAGAAAUCACUGCGCGCUUGCUAUUAAAAAAUAUAUCUGUGUGUUAGCGAUAACUUUAUUAAGCUGUACUCCUCUCAAUUCCAUAUUGCAAGCUAUUUUAGCUUUUCUUACGCACAUGCAUAGUUUUUGUUAGACGUCUAGAUUUGUAUACAUUGUGUCUAUGGGUAUUUUUUGGUUCUCGAUCUACUUUCCUACUACAACUUACUUAAGGUUAGUCAGCCAAAUUAAAGAACUAAUCUUAUUGUACAGAAAAAUAGAUAAAUUAUGUCAAGUUAUCAAACAAAGCUUAAAUACAUGCAUAGUUAAAAAAAUAUAUGCAUCUAUAAAAAUAGUGUUAACUUUUUUUAUAUAUAUACAUGUAUGUAGUUAUGUAUUAUGUCUAAAUAUAUGUAUCUAAAAGAACUAGGAUAAUAGGUUACAGUUUAAAAAUAGAGAUAAUAAGCAUGUUUGGUUCGGCUUUUUUCUGAAGGGUUUUUUCUAAGAAUCUAGCUUCCUAGAUAAUCUAUGGUCACAAGAAUCUAUAUAUCGUGAGGCUUGCACGUAGAGGAAGAUGAAGGGAUCGGUUUAGAAUUUAGGAGGUGGCGGAUUCGUCUCGUCAGGGUCCCGACUCAGAGGAUUCUACAUUCAUGUUGAUUUGAGUGAUCACAAAGGCCUUAAGUUGAUCCAAUUUUUCCACUGCAAGAUCAUCAUGUUUUGAUUCUUUCUUAAAUUCUUCAUUUUAUAUGGUAUCAAUUCUAGCAUUUAAUAGCUUUUUAUAGUAGGGGAUUAUUUUUUCGUUUCCUCUCAAGCUUUCUAGGAUCAUAUUCAACAUAUGUACGGGCAAUAUUCUUUACCAUCUGGGAGGUUUUGGGCUGCCGAUUCGAUAAAGAAGGCCCAACGUAAGAAUGAUCCGGUGCUUCACUAGUUGGGCUGGCUCAUCUGAUGGCGUGUGUUUAUUUGUUUCAUGUAUAGACUACUACAAUAUAUAGAAACGUGUGUUCCUAGAGGGGAAAAAAGGUCGAUUUGUACCUUCCUAAAUCAUAUCAUUAUAGUCUGAUUUGUUUCAUGUAUAGACUACCACCGCAGGGUUCAAGAGUGUUUGGCUUACACAUA